rnacentral:rRNA from 1 species
AGAGUUUGAUUCUGGCUCAGGAUGAACGCUAGCGGCAGGCCUAAUACAUGCAAGUCGAGGGGCAGCAGGGGUAGCAAUACUCGCUGGCGACCGGCGCACGGGUGCGUGACACGUAUGUAACUUUCCUUCAACUGGAAGAUAGCCCGAAGAAAUUCGGAUUAAUAUUCCAUAGUUAUAUGAAAUGGCAUCAUUUUAUAUUUAAAGCUCAGGCGGUUGAAGAUGGGCAUGCGUUCGAUUAGCUAGUUGGUGAGGUAAUGGCUCACCAAGGCUACGAUCGAUAGGGGAUCUGAGAGGAUUAACCCCCACACUGGUACUGAGACACGGACCAGACUCCUACGGGAGGCAGCAGUAAGGAAUAUUGGACAAUGGAGGCAACUCUGAUCCAGCCAUGCCGCGUGAAGGAUGAAGGUCCUAUGGAUUGUAAACUUCUUUUGAACGGGAGAAAACCUUCGGUCGUGUACCGAAGCUGAUAGUACCGUUAGAAUAAGGGUCGGCUAACUUCGUGCCAGCAGCCGCGGUAAUACGAAGGACCCGAGCGUUAUCCGGAUUUAUUGGGUUUAAAGGGUGCGUAGGCGGAAUGGUAAGUCAGUGGUGAAAUCUUGUGGCUUAACUGCAAAACUGCCAUUGAUACUGCCAAUCUUGAGUACAUUUGAUGUGGGCGGAAUGUGCCAUGUAGUGGUGAAAUACUUAGAUAUGGCACAGAACACCGAUCGCGAAGGCAGCUCACAAAACUGUUACUGACGCUGAGGCACGAAAGCGUUGGGGAUCAAACAGGAUUAGAUACCCUGGUAGUCCACGCCUUAAACUAUGAUUACUCGAUGUGUGCGAUACACAGUACGCGUCUAAGCGGAAGCGUUAAGUAAUCCACCUGGGGAGUACGGUCGCAAGAUUGAAACUCAAAGAAAUUGACGGGGGCCCGCACAAGCGGAGGAGCAUGUGGUUUAAUUCGAUGAUACGCGAGGAACCUUACCUGGGCUUGAAAGUUAGUGAAUGCUGUGGAAACAUGGCAGGCCGCAAGGACACGAAACUAGGUGCUGCAUGGCUGUCGUCAGCUCGUGCCGUGAGGUGUUGGGUUAAGUCCCGCAACGAGCGCAACCCCUAUCUUUAGUUGCCAGCGAGUAAUGUCGGGGACUCUAAAGAAACUGCCCGUGCAAACGGUGAGGAAGGUGGGGAUGACGUCAAGUCAGCACGGCCCUUACGUCCAGGGCUACACACGUGCUACAAUGGCGAGUACAAAGGGCAGCUACAUGAUGACAUGAUGCUAAUCUCUAAAACUCGUCUCAGUUCGGAUUGAAGUCUGCAAUUCGACUUCAUGAAGCUGGAUUCGCUAGUAAUCGAAUAUCAGCAAUGAUUCGGUGAAUACGUUCCCGGGCCUUGUACACACCGCCCGUCAAACAAUGGAAGCUGAGGGUACUUAAAGUCGAUAACCGCAAGGAGUCGCCUAGGGUAAAAUCGGUAACUGGUGUUAAGUCGAAACAAGGUA